GGGGGAAGGGGGCGGCCGGGCGAGAGGGGGGUGGGCGGCGUGGUGCAGGGGGCGACGGCCAAGCUGAGCUAGGCCGGCCGGGGCUGGGCGGCCUCUAGCUCCUCCCGAGCGGACUCCGGGUCGUCCGGGGCGCCGCUGGCCCCAGGGGCCGUUAAGGCGGCGGUUCCUCCACGCCUCCGCGUAGGGGCGCGGGCGGGCGCGAGGGAGGGAGGGAGGGCGAGGCGAGGCGAGGUCCCUUCUUCCCUUUCGCGCGUAGAACGUUCCUGCUAAACAGGCAAGCAGCAGCAGGGGGUCGACCACGCCACCCAACCGAGCGAACGAGUCGAGUGGAGUCGAGUGCCCCGGCCUAAACCAGACCGCCACGCCCACGCCAACCCCACGCUUAAUUUUUUCCCGCUCCUCCCCCUCACCAAUCAAGAAGGGAACCGGCGAACGUCGCCCCCGCGAUCGACGAAGCAACCGAACGAGCACGGUAAUUUCCGCAGGGGAAGGAGGGAGGCGGGGGGAGGGAGAGGGGGGCAGGGGGCCACCAACCCAAGAGCCUUCUAGACGCCGCCAAGAACGGUCCCCAAACCCGUCUAAGCCUCCUUCUUCUGCCCCGGGCCGAGACUAAGCGGCACCAUAAAUACACGGUACUCCUUCGAGAAGAAGAGGCUCAACUGGAGGACGUUCCUCUGGUUCGAGGUCAGGCGGUGGGUGAGUACCGACGGGUACCUGUUUCCGUUCGAGAGGUUCAAGUGACCGGUGAGGUCGAGGAGGAGGAGGAGCUAUCUUAGAGACUACUUUUACGGCCUCGGCGGCCAGGAGGGCGUGAAGUUCGGACGACUGAUGCAGCUGUAUAACCGAGUCUAAGUGCUCCUCGACCUCAUGACGGGAGGACUACUCUUCAGCACGGACAUGGACGAGGUCAAGGUCCAAAAGGCGCCCGAACCUCUCCGGUUCGACAGCGCUUCCUCGGAGGUCCGACGGACCCUCUUCCGCUCGUGCUAUGUGCUCUUCGAGUAUAAGCCCCGUACCGAGUUCAUGCUCUUCUCUCCCCUCCUCGGCUAUAGACUGGAAGAACCGAGCACGCCGUUCACGAGAGUUCUCAAGUUCGACGACCUAAAGCAGAGUGUCUAGAGGCGGCUCAGCGUGCCCUAUUCGAUGCUACUGCUUAGACUACUCAAGGUCCCGAGGGGCCACCAAGUAAAGGCCUAUUCCCUACUGUACUAACGUACGCUAUCCGCCUUCGAACGCCGGAACAGUUGAGGUGACAUACGCUACGAAUUACCACCCAAAUUCCUCAGUGUAGAACUUCAGUAACUGUACAGAGCCUUGCCGUAGAGGGGAUAACCAUACGCUCGGUAGUCAUUUAAGUCGGACAGUCCUUCUGAUGGCAUAAACAGUCGUCUUAGAUAAAACCUCUACGAACUAAAACGAUUGUUUAAGACGACGUUCCCGGAGUUCCUACGAACGCUCGUUUUUGAACGAAGAAAACAAAGAAGGUCCGUUCUACGGUAUCUAAUGUACCUCACACGAUAACUCGACCCGACAAGGUAUGAACGGCGCAGUACGAACGUCCACGAGGACUUACUCGAAGGUCUUACGAACUUACUACUCGUUCACCAAUCCUAUAAGAGGAGGCGCUUAUUCGUCGUCUCUAGGUGAUACCGACCGUUACGUAGAAAGAGGGAUAUAACGGAAGAACCACUUCAGAGGUACUCGUAGUCACGUUGUAGUCUACAGUGACAUUCGAAGAACCUCUUCGACCAACUGAGUCGUAGUCUAAGAUCUGUCUUCGUCAACCGGAACGUAGUUAACCGAACGCACUCCGACGAUUCCUUUCUAGUACGACUCCGACUCGCGGACAAGUUACGGCGGAAAUGGCGACCAGUACAGAUGAGCCAUCACCCGAACCGAUCUAACCGGAGAGACUCCUCAUUAUUUGUAAUAAGAGAGUUGAACGAACUGAGACAGUACAGUAGAGCCACCGGAGAACCCACCUACAUAGUUCUCUCUCGGGAUAUAGACCUGCCACUAUCGUUCAAUCUCUUAGAGUUAUUCCGAUGACUUGACCUAGGAUGGGAAUGUAUGGGGAUAUACAAAGCUCGACGUAGAAACUACUUUUCCGUUUCACAACUUCGACGGGACUACCUCUAAUUGGCCUAGGACCCCAAGUUCGACCAGGACCUUACGAAUCUCGAUUCCAAGACAACGAUGGAACGAGAUCUCCUGAUGUCCCGACGGAAUACGCUACACGUCCGUUAGGAGUGCGAACGAGGUCUAAUAGCAUACUAACCACCAGCCCACCGACGCUUCGUCGACGCAUGCGAACACUACCUCUUACAUCUCGUUACCUGCUGACGACUAACGACCUACGUCGAAAUACUAGCCACCAGGAGACACCUACUAUAACCUAGGGAGAGCCAGUAUAUAGUUUACGACCUCAGUCUACGACGAUUCCCUCAUGACAUGAAGUCUGUUAGAAACGACGAAGAGUCUAAUUUAACAGGACUCCGACGUUACGCGUCGAACGUCGAACGAGCACUCGUACGUCGUUCGGUGGUACUUGCCGAACAAAUGCUUCCUACCUAUGACAUACUAUGACCGGUGACGCUCCUUCCUAACGUCUUUCGCCUUCGUAGCUAACGGUAUGUCUCUAGUAAACUCCGCAAGAAAGAUUUUCGAAUACGAAAUCGACUAAGCUCAGAACUCCGCAGUUGGAGUCGUUGUCAGCAUAGCGAAGAACUUCUACGUAAUGCCACAGGGAGUCUAUCUGAAUCCUUCCCGGUCCGAAACUUAUUGGAACCCUCACAAAUACACCUAACGCCCUUAGACCUGAACCGUCGACUUACGAUGUAAUUGCGAAAUUUCUAACCGGUGUGCUCUCGAGUAGUUCCGGAACGGUCCCAAGUAAAGGAAUCCUUAUUGUCCUGGCCACGUAAGCUCCUUUACUGGUUCGACUAUCUCUUCCGGUCCUCGUUACGUAGUCGCAUGCUCUUCUCCAGACUCAUAACACUGGCCCUAGAUUGAUUUCGACUAGACGUCUACCAGUGGUUUGAACUGGGGGAGGCCCAGAUGGGGAUGUCUAUGGCACGGCGACAAGACUACCUGUUGGUGUUCCUCUUUCUACGGUAGAGUCUCGACUGAUUCCGUUAACGGAAAUUCCGCCUGGACUUGGACGAGGUAGACGCACGCCGGAAGGUGCUCGUGCACCCACUGUAGAGUCCGCGGGAGGCCCUGACGGCGCGUCGUGAAAGGCACCUGGGGUUGGUGGUCCUUUACGAGCUCGAAGUAGUAGCCCACUUGUCGGUUCUUGGGACUCGGGCAACAACAUGUAUGUCCUCCCCGAGGGUAUCGCUUUUGGGUAUGGUCACAUACAAGACAUGGUAUGUGUCGUUCGUCAUUAAAAAUCAAAACUACCAUAGAUCACUCCGACAUUCCUAACACUAGUAGUUUUGCUGAUUUUAAUUCGGUGCACGAUAUACCUUUUAUAAUGUAAGGUGAACACAGUGAACCGAUUGUGAUUGACCCGUUAUCCGAAGUCGUACGUUGUUAUACGUAACUUGGCUUCCGGACCGACAACACAGGUAGUCAAAAACGUGACGACAUUUUAGGUGAAGAAAACACAAUCAUGAAUCAUCACUUAGACGACGUUGUACGUCAAACUAAACAGGUAACACAAUGGUAAAAGUACAAAACAUUUGACGAUUUAUCGUGAUAAUCAACUAGGAGUCAGACGUCUACAUUUCUAUCAAGUUCAUCAACAAAAACGCACUAAUUGAUACCAAUCCCGGACUUUUAACCUAUAGUAAAGACUAAAGUACCAACCAUUUGACCAUUUUAUGUGACGAUUAUCAACGUAUACCAACUUCUGACCUUACUAGACGUUCUCUACAACAAUGGCGACGUACAAUAAGAAGACUACCUGUCCAACGUUACCACCCUAGAGUGUUCCCUUCGACGGUAAAUAAACUAUGUUGACAUACGAGGUCCUUCGAGGAACCCUCAGGACUGAUGAAGACGUCUCAGUUCUUAGGCACAACCAUUACCGCUACUCGAAGAGCGGAAGAGGUGUCUAAAUUUCCAUUUUAAGGCAAGAGGAAGUAACAUUUUACAGAUCCUAUACAAACGACUAGUUUUAUGUUAAAAUAAAAAACGUUUAGAUCUCGUUUACUUGUUACAAUAAGACACAUUAAGUUAGACACCACUGGACAACGGGCGCGUGCGCGUACGAGUGCGAGUGCGUGUGCGUGUGCGUGUGUGUGUCUCCCUCUAAACCCCGUGGCGUCCUGAACACGGAAAAGAGACAAAGAAAGAAGAGUGAUUGUUUACUUGGCCUACGUUACCGAAGUUAUCGCUUAUGUUACCGACUUUAUCGCUUUGUACGUUACGGGGUUCGGUGUGACCGGACUAGAAUUUGAGUACGUGUGCAAGAGGUGAACACGUCGUAGAGGCGUUGCCGACGUGUUGCGUCGGUUUUGUCGUACGUAAAUCGGCCGACUGUGAUUGUUGGAGGUACGUUAGAUCGACUGAUUGUGUCCAUAUGUGCGGUGAACGUGCAGGUCCGGCGUAAAAGUAACCCGAGCAAGGACCAAGUGACUUUGUGCGCGGAUGUGUUUUACUGAGGUUCUCGUGAACGUACCAACGGGAGCCCAUGCUUGAACGCCUACACGAGUGCAACGACGGCGGCGUGUCCGAAGAAAGAUAGAGACACGAAGAGGACGACGACUAGGCGGGCACAAUACUUCGUUGUGUACGUUAAAAGGAACUUGGAUGAUUACUUUAAUAUACUGUUAAUUUGAUACGUCAUGUUAUUUUGUAUUUGACCUGGAUAUUUUGUUCCGAUUGAGAUUGUCUCGUUACGUGAUCACAAUCAAACCCAGAAACGUAAGUGAAACACAAACUAUAAAACUUGUCCCCAAGUCGUUAUGGCCUUCGGUUUAGAGUCGUAGACAUCGAGGUCUCCCCUUUAGACAUCAGACACACACGGACACUCCUGAGGGUACACAAUUUACACAUACAGACCUUGUACCGUUGUCAGGGACAGGUUCGUCUUCGUCUUCGACUUCGUCCUCAGGUACUACAUCGACAGCUUGAGCGUACCGGGCCAUAGUAAACUCA
rnacentral:rRNA from 1 species